AGUGAACGCUGGCGGCGUGCUUAACACAUGCAAGUCGAACGAGAACGGAAUAUAGCUUGCUAUAUUUGUCAGCUAAGUGGCGCACGGGUGAGUAAUGUAUAGAUAACCUGCCCUUAAGAAAGGAAUAACAGUUAGAAACGACUGCUAAUGCCUUAUAUGCCUUUAAUACAUAAGUAUGCAAGGGAAAUGCUUUAGUGCUUAAGGAUGGGUCUGUAUGGUAUCAGCUUGUUGGUGAGGUAAUGGCUCACCAAGGCUAUGACGCCUAACUGGUUUGAGAGGAUGAUCAGUCACACUGGAACUGAGACACGGUCCAGACUCCUACGGGAGGCAGCAGUGGGGAAUAUUGCACAAUGGACGAAAGUCUGAUGCAGCAACGCCGCGUGGAGGAUGACACAUUUCGGUGCGUAAACUCCUUUUAUAUAGGAAGAUAAUGACGGUACUAUAUGAAUAAGCACCGGCUAACUCCGUGCCAGCCGCCGCGGUAACAC
rnacentral:rRNA from 1 species